UACGAAGGGGGCUAGCGUUGCUCGGAAUUACUGGGCGUAAAGCGUGCGCAGGCGGUGAUGUAAGACAGUUGUGAAAUCCCCGGGCUCAACCUGGGAACUGCAUCUGUGACUGCAUUGCUGGAGUGCGGCAGAGGGGGAUGGAAUUCCGCGUGUAGCAGUGAAAUGCGUAGAUAUGCGGAGGAACACCGAUGGCGAAGGCAAUCCCCUGGGCCUGCACUGACGCUCAUGCACGAAAGCCAGGGGAGCGAACGGG
rnacentral:rRNA from 1 species